rnacentral:rRNA from 1 species
UACGAAGGGGGCUAGCGUUGCUCGGAAUCACUGGGCGUAAAGCGCACGUAGGCGGAUUCUUAAGUCAGGGGUGAAAUCCUGGAGCUCAACUCCAGAACUGCCUUUGAUACUGAGGGUCUUGAGUUCGGGAGAGGUGAGUGGAACUGCGAGUGUAGAGGUGAAAUUCGUAGAUAUUCGCAAGAACACCAGUGGCGAAGGCGGCUCACUGGCCCGAUACUGACGCUGAGGUGCGAAAGCGUGGGGAGCAAACGGG